UUAAUCCAAAAAAACAAGAAAUUGCUUACUUUUGUUCAAAAAGUUGAUGGGAAUGUGGUCCCUUAAAGUUCUUGAGAUUCUCUUUUGCUAUCAUAGUUAGCGCUUGGUUUAUACUGGAUCGUGUGAUACUAGAACAAGGAUUCUCAAAUGACCUGACAACCUACUUAUGAGAUAUGAGUAUUGCGAAUCUUUUCGUUAGGCAAGUUUUCUCAAUUGCCUCUUUCUCUUCUUAGUGUGUAAUCUUGAGCUUAAAGUUAUCUAAUACUUAUAUUUUUAGAUUGUAAUUGAGGAUUCUCAUAAUAGUUCUUGAGAUUCUCUUUUGCUAAUUUAGGAGAAUGACAACAAAUACAUAUGUUUCCUCUGUAUUCCUCAGUUCAGUAGUAUUAUUAAGUAGUCGUGUGUUCUCUUAUUUUUAAUGUAUAUUACUCUUUGUUGCUUCCCUGCUUCAUCUCUUGCUCUUUUGCUGACAUAUUUUUCUAGCAGAUCUGCUUCAGAAACUCUUUUUUUGAGCCGAGGGUCUAUAGGAAACCAUCUCUAAACCCCCACAAAGGAGGCAUCCUGUAAGGAUCAUGUAAGCAGAUGAUGUUAGCUGACUGUCUUAACUUACUAGGCUGUGAUGAGAUCGAGAGAAGGCAAACAACAGAUCAGGUAAAUAAUCUCUUCAUUUAUAGUGUUUUAACUCUGUUUUCACAUUUUUUGGUAUUUGAAUUGACAUAAGACAUGAUAAAUAAAACUAAAUUCAAUUUCUCGCAGUCCUUCUCCCUUAACCCUAAGACAAUACCUUUUUGUUGUCACUCAAGUGCAUGGUCUGCUUCAUAGUGUAUUUAAAUGAUUUACUUGAUAGUGUUUUGUGGACCGCUCAUACUAAGCGAGAUAAGAAUGAGCUUUAUAAUCAUAUGUGGGGUGCUCAUAUUAUGCGAGGUAAGAAUGAACUUUUCCGUUCCUUCAUAAAUCAUAGGGAACUUAUUUCAGUUUCUCUAUCAAAAAAAACUUUUUCCAGUUACUUAAAUUGUGUUAUCAAAUUGUCAUGAUAAUUCAUUAGCUGGUAUUUCAAAUUUUAUAGUUUAUUUAAGAAUAGAAUGCUACUUUGGUUGACAAUGAGUUUGACUGAAAACUUCUCAAAAGAAAAAGGUUAAGGGCACAUGAAUAUAGUAGUUUAUGAUCUUACCAAAAAAAUGAAUAUAGUAAUUUAUGAUUAGGCAUUUCUCCUAUAUAAAGUUUUAAAAAGUGAGAGUCUACGUAAAUGUUUCCCUCCCAAUGCACAACAUAUGAAGAAACGGAAGCCUCAACGUUUGACUUAUUAGGGAGUUCGAUAUCAAUCAUACAAUUUAUCUUGGUAGAUUUUUAGAAACUUAAUAGUAAUGAAUAUGACUCUAGGUCAUUUUCAGUAAAUGUUCUUUCGUUUUCUGAUAGUAAACGUGGCUUUUGAUAUGGGAUCAUUGCAGGACAUUCGAGGCUGCAAAGUUUGUAUCAUUUUGAAUGUUCUGAAAUAAUUUUUUAAAUUUUUUUUCAUCUUUCAGCUAUUUCUCAGUAGAAGUUAUGUUAUAAAUUUGUGUCAUAAUGUUGUUUUUCACUAUCGGCCUUGAAAGCUUGUAGUUUGCUAUUGCAGGUUACUUCCCUGCAGGAGUAGUAGUAGUUUUUUUUUUUUAUCUUUUUCCAUCACGUAUUUGUCAUUUCAAGCCGAGGAUAGUUCUAGAUCGAUGUAAAUGGACUUGUAUUAGCAUUAAAAAAGUAUUUGGUUUCUUUUCUU